AACGAACGCUGGCGGCAGGCUUAACACAUGCAAGUCGAGCGCCCAGCACGGGGAGCGGCAGACGGGUGAGUAGCGCGAGGGGACGGACAUAUGGGAGCGGAAUAACCCCGGGAAACGGGUGCCAAUACCGGACAAGCCCUAACGGGGAAAGACUUAUCGCCGAAAGAUCGGCGCGCGUCUGAUUAGCUAGUUGGUGGGGUAAAGGCGCACCAAGGCGACGAGCUGUAGCUGGUCUGAGAGCAUGAUCCGUCACACUGGGACUGAGGCACGGCCCAGACUCCUACGGGGGGCAGCAGUGGGGAAUAUUGGGCGAUGGGCGCAAGCGUGAUCCAGCCAUGCCGCGUGAGUGAUGAUGGCCUUAGGGUUGUAAAGCUCUUUUGUCCGGGAAGUUAAUGACUGUACCGGGAAAAUAAGCCCCGGCUAACUUCGUG
rnacentral:rRNA from 1 species